rnacentral:rRNA from 1 species
UACGUAGGGCGCAAGCGUUGUCCGGAAUUAUUGGGCGUAAAGAGCUCGUAGGCGGCUUGUCACGUCGGAUGUGAAAGCCCGGGGCUUAACCCCGGGUCUGCAUUCGAUACGGACUAGCUAGAGUGUGGUAGGGGAGAUCGGAAUUCCUGGUGUAGCGGUGAAAUGCGCAGAUAUCAGGAGGAACACCGGUGGCGAAGGCGGAUCUCUGGGCCAUUACUGACGCUGAGGAGCGAAAGCGUGGGGAGCGAACAGG